GACGAACGCUGGCGGCGUGCCUAAUACAUGCAAGUCGAACGCAGUUGGGACGGGUGAGUAACACGUGGGUAACCUCCCAUCAGAGGGGAUAACACUUGGAAACAGGUGCUAAACCGAUACUGAUGGAUGGACCCGCGGUGCAUUAGCUAGUUGGUGAGGUAACGGCUCACCAAGGCCACGAUGCAUAGCAGGUCUGUGAGGAUGACCGGCCACACUGGGACUGAGACACGGCCCAGACUCCUACGGGAGGCAGCAGUGGGGAAUCUUCGACAAUGGACGCAAGUCUGACCGAGCAACGCCGCGUGAGUGAAGAAGGUUUUCGGGUCGUAAAACUCUGUUGUUAGAGAAGCGGUAUCUAACGAGAAAGCCACGGCUAACUACGUGCCAGCAGCCGCGGUAAUUC
rnacentral:rRNA from 1 species